GCUUGCCCAUCAGUACGCUUGGCCUCGAUCAUACCAAGGAAAAAUGUUAACACUAAGGAAAAAUGUUAACACUUGGUUGGAUGAUGGACCAGCAUAAGUACUACUUGGACUAAUCAGACUGACUUGGACAGUCCAGUCCAUCAAAACUCGAGCUUAUGUCCAGAUCAGUACACGGAUCAGUACACGGGAAGGGCCAGCGUGCUGAUAUGUAUGGGUACCUCAUAUAUGAUAUAAUCCAUAAAAAAAAAGUACAAACUUACAAUUGAACCCAGGUUAAUAAGUGAGAAAGAAAUGUCAGUUGCCACCACACUACAUUGAUUCUUUACAAUAUUCGCUGAGUCAAAAGCAUAUAAACUCUAUGCUAUGCGCUGUAUAAACAAUUGUGUAAAAUUAACAUAAAGGGAUUUUUGAACUCGGGUUUGCUGUAGAAGAGAGAAGAGACCAAACCACCAUGCCAUAUGGGUUAUUAGCAUAUAACUAUAAGUUUUAAAAUUUAAAGUAAACACUAUGAUCUGAAUUUCUUAUGUAUUUCAAAAAAAAAUUGUUUGGCAUGAAGCUAGACACAAAGAAGAACACAAAAAUGUAUUCAGAUUAUAAAUUCAGUUCAAAAAAAAAAUUAAAUCACAGUUUUUAAACACAUAAAUGGAAGAAAAUCAUACAAGAAAAAUUCAUUUAGCAAUAAUAACAUAUCCGGGCCGCCUACGGCUUAUGCGGUUUUAAAAAAAAAAUUUCUAAAAACGGAUUAAUCUACACAAAGUUAUGAUCAUUUGAAGUUUGAAUUAAUUAAUUUUCAGAACGCAAGGAUUAGAGGAGGACGCUGGCAAUUAGUUUUUUUUUUAAAAUUGCAAUGUAUGCCCUUUUAUUUAGAUAAAUUGCAUAUAACCCCACUCCACGUUCUUCCAUAUACGAUGGAUGUUCUCAGAUUAAAGUCAAGAUUUUUGAAGACUGUUUACCUCAUUCUAACCCCACUCCACCUUCUUCCACCAUUCUCCCACGAUCUAAGUUUAUCCCCGGAGUAUCUUGCUUCUAUCUUGCUUCAAAUGUAACCGCAAUCAUAAUCAGAUUGCAAGGCAACAACAGUUCGAUUCACAGGUGGCGAUUAGUUCUGAGCAUGAGUACAUAAGCCGAGGAACCCUAAUCUAACCGUUUUCUCACUUGAAAUCUGGCCUUACACUUCCUCAGUCCAAACAUGGCGAUUUCGAUUCUGAUCAAGAUUAAGGACAAUGUUUGAUGUUCUCUGCUUUCAUUAGUAAGAUGCUUGAUGGAGGAACGUGAACGUGGAGAUGACAUUUAAGGUGCUGUCUUGGUCUGCCACUGUCAUCAAUGUUUUAAGAAGCAUUGAUCAAGACUCUUUGCAUCAUCAUAAUUAGGUGAAUAGUUUCUCCAUCCCACUGUCCAGUUCCAUUCACGUAUCAACAUGACUUGUGUCAACCAUGAAACAUGAGUCACAUAACCGUAACCUUGUUCAAUCUCCAGUAGGCACUUCCUUCUAGUAACUUCAGGUUUGCUAAAUUAUGUAUAUGGGAUUCAUUGUCGUCACUGGAAGAAUCAAUGACAAACGUCUUCUAUUGCAUGUCCUCUGUUUCAUUUUUCACUUACAUGUUUUUUAUUCUCUAUUUUUUAUGUUUACUGAUAGAUUAAAAAAAGCAUUUCUUAGAGCAUAGUCAUAGUUUAUGGGCGCGCCUAUCAGCUUCAUAUGCAAAGGACUUCUUAGAUCGAUUUAACCCUCAUCCUUUUGGACUUGGGCACACACUUCUUCAAGUGUAGGGAGCUUCUCAGACCUCAAUAGGUGAUAUUGAUGAGGGCGUCCAAGUUCGCUGGUAGUUCUGAUCCCAUUGAGUCAAACCACUCCUGGACAUGUCCAAAGCAAGGAUCGAGGACAUGACAAGAGCAGAGGUCUCGACCGAGUUGCUGGACUGAAGUCUCUCUCAACAAGAACAGAGGAUGGAGAUGGCGUGAUGGUGGAAUCAGGCUUGCUGGACUGAAGUCUCUCUCAAGGCCGGAUUGAUGGAUGGAAUGGAAUGAAGAAUCGCCACAAGUUUGGUGAAGAAAACUUGAAGCAAAAACAACAUGGACUCUCUUGGACAAGCUAAAAUCAACUAGUGGGCCGACUCUACUAGGACAAGCUAAAGCAAAGGCUAAACAAAGGCCUUGAAUUAUUGGACUCAAGAAAAUAAAGACUUAAACAAUUUGCCCAUGAGUUCUUGAAUUGAAAUUAAAAAGAACCAACACAAACCAGAAACCAGAAACAUAAACCGGUUAGAAAUCAUAAUUGAAAUCUUACCUGCUUACCUUAAUUGGAUUGGGCGGAUUACUCAGAACUGGCUGAGCUUGGGGAGGUGUCUGAACCGAGAUCACAUGUAGAGAUGGUUAGGCCGGUUUGGUUCUGGCCGAGUGAUCUGAAUUGGAGGAACCGGCUUGGUCUUGAACCUCUAUUGGACCGGCUGGAUCUUGAAUCUUCAAUUGGAACAUCUCUUCAAUCAGCAGCUCUUCAUCUUGAUCAAGGACAUGUUAAGGGACAAGAGUGAACAUGAGCACAGCCUAUCAUCCUCAGACGGAUGGACAGUCAUCGAUCCAGACGUUAGGGGACAUGUUAAGGGCCGUGUUGUUGGAUUGGGGCGAUUCAUGGGAGAAGCAUCUACCCUUGCUCGAGUUUGCCUACAACAACAGUUUCCAUACCAGCAUGAAGCAUUGUAUGGGCGAGCAUUGUAUGGGCGGCCUUGCAGGACACCAUUAUGCUGGACCCAAGUGGGGGAGAGAAGCAUGUUGGGUCCUGAGAUUGUCGAAGAGACCACUGAAAAGAUAACGUUCUUAAAGAAGAAAAUGAAAGAGGCUCAGGAUCGUCAAAAGAGCUAUGCAGAUAGACGGAGGAAACAUCUUGAGUUUCAAGGGAGGGCUAGAGUUUCUGUAAGAAGAAAACUAGACCCUAGGUACUUGGGUCCGUUCAGAAUCAUAGAAAGAGUUGGGGCUGUGGCUUAUAAGUUGAACCUGCCAUCGGCCAUGGAUGCGUUCCAUAACACGUGUUUCAUGUGUCCCAACUCCGAAAAUGUUUGUCUGAUCAGGACAUAGUACGACCGGAGACUCCCGCUGAUUUGGGUAAGAAUCUGACCCUAGAGACAAUGCCGGUUCGCAUUGUGGAUCGAACAGAGAAGGCAACAAGGAAGAAGACCAUUCCCAUGAUCAAGGUCGUGUGGGAAUAUAAUGGCAAGUAUGUAAUCACUUGGGAGACAGAGGCAAGGAUGAAGGCCGAGUAUCCUGAAUGGUAUGAUCAGUUUGUCUGAGAGGAAACACUUAGUGUGGGAUCAUUGGGGACGAGCCAUGGUGCUGGGAGACGCACCAGUCAGGUCAUUUGACCAGGACCCAAGCAUAUAAUGGCUCAGGUAUAAGGUUAAGGGCAUCAAAGUGUUGAGACUUAACCAGAAUGAAGAAGGGAUGGAUUUAAUGGAGCUGGACGAGUAAUGUGGGCGCUGGACGGGACACUCAGCUGGUGGAGCUGGAAGGACUAGCUCACUCAGCUGGGGCCAGCUAGUAAUCAGCUCAACUCAGCUGGGCUGAGUGUUCAUGUUCGAGACGGUUGGGGCGGUUAUGGUCCGGUUAGAUGGUGAGGCCACGACAUGGACGGUCAGUUAAAGGGCUUGGCCUUAGGAUCAGGAUAGAGAACCGACAGGAACAGGAGCAGUUGGAGGCUGUUGAGGACCGGUUGGGGGCAGUUAUUUCCGAACGGUUGCAAGGGAGAGAUAGACACCUUUUCGGCCCCAUGGCAGUUACUGACUCCCUCUCUCAAGUGAAGUGGUUCAGCUCAGCUAGCUGGAUGAGCUAACUAAACAGAUAAGUCAGCUGGGACAAUGACCUAACAAGCUAGCUGGUUGCAUAGAUCUAGAUAGAAUGGUUAGGGUAAUGGAACCUCAGAUUUGUAUGACUUGAUUUGGGAUCAGGAUCGACCUUGGAGCUAGCUGGUAGUUGAGAAUACUAACCAUUAGCUGAGCUGAUUCGACCAGACAAGUAUUAUAUUGGCUGUAGACCAAUGGUUAAGUAGAGAAUAUCCGCUGCGUAUGAGUUGAAAUGAUCUAAGCUAGGGAAUGACUAAGGUAGUCUUAAGCUAAGGUCUAAGUUAGCCCUCGCCUAUGGGCGAUAAUAUAGAUAAAGGGCAAAAUUAAAAUUUUGAGAGGUUCGGUCAGUGUAUGGACCGAGCGACGUGAGGCAUCGACCGCGGCCUAGUCGGCCGGGAUCGGGUCUUACAAUCCAAGCCCUUGGCCUUUGGCCGGACUGAUCAUGGUCGCCUGAUCAUGGUCGGAUCUGAUAUUUUUAGAGUGAUUUGUUGGAAUCUGAUUAUGGGAAUCUCUUAGUUGGGAUUUAUCAGGGAUUAUCAUGUAUUUUAAUUAGUUUUUGGGAAUUUAUUUGAGUAUGUUGGUUUUCGACAGAUUAUAGAUUCUAAGUAUCCGAACCAUGCUUAUCUAGACUUGAUGUUAGGAUAUCGGCCUUAUGAGUAUGUAUAUGUCUUGUGUGGUUUCAGGAUCAGACAUGGACCGUGGUAAAGGAAAAGCACCGUGAAGACUCUGGCCAUGGGAAGAUGUGUGGUGAAUGGGUCAUUGUAGAUAGAUGUGAAGUAUUCAUAGCCUAUUGUGCAACUUGUGAACUUAUGUUAUAAUAAGUGUGUAUAACCUAUUAGGACGAAAAUGUAUGGAUCUCAGUUUAUAUUUAUACCAUUGAUUUGCCUCUUA